UACGGGGGGAGCAAGCGUUGUUCGGAUUUACUGGGCGUAAAGGGCGCGUAGGCGGUCGUGACAAGUCACUUGUGAAAUCUCCGGGCUUAACUCGGAACGGUCAAGUGAUACUGUCGUGCUAGAGUACAGAAGGGGCAACUGGAAUUCUCGGUGUAGCGGUGAAAUGCGUAGAUAUCGAGAGGAACACCAGUGGCGAAGGCGGCUCACUGGCCCGAUACUGACGCUGAGGCACGAAAGCGUGGGGAGCAAACAGG
rnacentral:rRNA from 1 species